ACCGAUAUGGUGGAAUUGGUAGACGCGCUGGGUUUAAGUCCCAGUGACCCGAAUGGGUCGUGUAGGUGCAACUCCUACUAUCGGUACAA
rnacentral:tRNA from 1 species